rnacentral:lncRNA from 1 species
GAAGUAGAAGAAACCGUAAGGUUAGUUUCAAUCACGAGCAAGUCUAGCAUACCUUCAGAAGGUGUGUCCUUUUUGUUCUUCAGGCUCUCGAGGUAUGAAGGGCAGUUCCUUUUCCAGUGGCCGUUGACGUUGCAGUGGAAACAUUUUUCUUUGUCAUCAGCCCUUUUCUUAUGAACUUCCUUUUUAGGCUUUAUGUCUUUCUUGUGCUUCUUUGCAGGCUUCUUUUUCUUCCAAGUAGACUUUCUCUUGGAACCAGAAGUCA